ensembl:lncRNA
AGAGAAAAGAAAGAGGAAGGAAAUGGAGGUUAUUUGUAGAAAAGAGAAAUUCAAAAGGUCAAAUUCUUCCAGAAGAAUUUAAAAUCUCCAAAUUGGAGAGGAAUUUUCAUGCACAGACCACAACUGGCUCCAAGAAGUCAAGGAAGCAGGAAGCAGCUGACACAGGUGUCUUGUAUUGGAAACACUGAGCAAAGUGAGCAACCUGAAAAAAAUAAUUUUGAGAAAACUCACAGUCCAGAAUCUCUCUCAUUAAAAACACUAGAAACACACGGAUCUCUACCUGACGUGAAGAGCUGACUCAUUGGAAAAGACCCUGAUGCUGGGAAAGAUUGAAGGCAGGAGAAGGGGACGACAGAGGAUGAGAUGAUUGAAUGGCAUUAGGGACGCGAUGGACAUGAGUUUGAGUAAACUCCGGGAGUUGGUGAUGGACAGGGAGGCCUGGUGUGCUGUGGUCCAUGGGGUCACAGUUGGACAUGACUGAGCGAUUGAACUGAACUGAACUGAACUCUAGUUAUCCCUCAAUAACCAAACAUAUUUUCCACAUCCCUCUGGUCAGGGUGCUCUCCUGUACCCUGCGACAUUUUUUCCAAACUUCACUCCCCCAGACCAUUGAUUGUGCCACUUCCCAACUCACUUCCAGCAGAUAAUAUUUGGACUACUCAGCAGAAUAAAUAGAGGCUAAUAGUACUUUCUUUUAUUUGUACUAUUUUUUCCUCCUUCUCCUGACUUAGGUUGCAGUAUUUGUCUAAUCAUUUUCCAUGUGCUCUGGUGCAUAAAUUGUCAAACUAUCUUUUAAAA